rnacentral:rRNA from 1 species
CUGGUUGAUCCUGCCAGAGGUUACUGCUAUCGGUGUUCGCCUAAGCCAUGCGAGUCAUAUGUUCUUCGUGAACAUGGCGUACUGCUCAGUAACACGUGGAUAACCUGCCCUUGGGUCCGGCAUAACCCCGGGAAACUGGGGAUAAUUCCGGAUAACGCACAUAUGCUGGAAUGCUUUAUGCGUCAAAUGGAUUCGUCUGCCCAAGGAUGGGUCUGCGGCCUAUCAGGUAGUAGUGGGUGUAAUGUACCUACUAGCCGACGACGGGUACGGGUUGUGAGAGCAAGAGCCCGGAGAUGGAUUCUGAGACAUGAAUCCAGGCCCUACGGGGCGCAGCAGGCGCGAAAACUUUACAAUGCGGGAAACCGUGAUAAGGGGACACCGAGUGCCAGCAUCAUAUGCUGGCUGUCCGGGUGUGUAAAAUACACCUGUUAGCAAGGGCCGGGCAAGACCGGUGCCAGCCGCCGCGGUAACACCGGCGGCCCCGAGUGGUGAUCGUGAUUAUUGGGUCUAAAGGGUCUGUAGCCGGCCGGAUAAGUCUCUUGGGAAAUCUGGCAGCUUAACUGUCAGGCUUUCAGGAGAUACUGUCUGGCUCGAGGCCGGGAGAGGUGAGAGGUACUUCAGGGGUAGGGGUGAAAUCUUGUAAUCCUUGAAGGACCACCAGUGGCGAAGGCGUCUCACCAGAACGGACCUGACGGCAAGGGACGAAAGCUGGGGGCACGAACCGGAUUAGAUACCCGGGUAGUCCCAGCCGUAAACGAUGCUCGCUAGGUGUCAGGCAUGGCGCGACCGUGUACUGGUGCCGUAGGGAAGCCGUGAAGCGAGCCACCUGGGAAGUACGGCCGCAAGGCUGAAACUUAAAGGAAUUGGCGG